GACUCUAUAGCUCAGUGGUAGAGCAUACGAUUGCAGUUCAACUACUGGAUAUCGUGCGGUCCCGUGUUCGAACCACGGUGGGGUCU